UUUAGUAAGUUGAUAAAAAAAGAAACCAAAUUGAGUAUGCUUCUGAUUUCUGUAACUAUACUUUUCCAUUUACAAAGAUUCUGCUUUGUCCAUACCUACUGUACAUGCAGUUCAACAAUAAUGAAAAUGAAAAGGUACAUUUAAUUAUCUCAUUUGCUAUCUUCAUCCACAAUAACGAAAAUGAAAAUGUACAUUUGAUUAUCUCAUCUGCUAUCUUCAUCAUUUAUGUAGGCUGUUCAGAAGAGGAGGGUGGUAAAAGAGAUUCGAGUGGUGUUCAAGUUCAGCUGCUACUUGGGUGCUAUAGAGUGACAAUGAACUAAACCGAAAAUGGCAAGAUAAUGAUCCAACAUUUGGUCAUCCAAUGCCUGAUUACGACUCCCUAGCUACCCAAUCAACUAUCAACAGUCAUCAAGAAGUGUAUGGAUUGAGCAAAGGAAGCUUUAACGAUCAUAAUGAUCAAUCAGAUGGUCAUGACAAUGGAACGACAAGGGACUCAUUCUAGGAAAUGUGUACAUGCCCCAAUUUAAGGUAAAUAAAAAGCAAUUGUUACAUAUAUACUUUGUUUAUAAGAAUAUAUAGUUCCACAUUGAAAAUAUUCAGCACAGGUCAGAUUAGGUAAUAUCCUUGUAUGCUUCUGCUAGGUUUUUGCAUCUGUUGCCAUUGAAGAGAAGGCUUGAUAAUGGCAUCCAUUUGUAUUACAUUUUAGGCAUGACAAGCUUUUCCAUUUUAUUUGUUUGCGGCAUUAAUUGUGAUUAGUAACAGAUCUUAAUGAUAUUUUAGACUACAGAAUUUAGGCGUUCAUUUGCUCUCUUUAGCUUUUUGCCGUUGAUUUUAUCCGCUUCUCCCUAAUCUAUCUUACAUAUUUAAGGAGAUGCUAA